rnacentral:rRNA from 1 species
UAGGGAAUCUUCGGCAAUGGGGGGAACCCUGACCGAGCAACGCCGCGUGAGUGAAGAAGGUUUUCGGAUCGUAAAGCUCUGUUGUUAAGGAAGAACGAGUGUGAGAAUGGAAAGUUCAUGCUGUGACGGUACUUAACCAGAAAGGGACGGCUAACUACGUGCCAGCAGCCGCGGUAAUACGUAGGUCCCGAGCGUUGUCCGGAUUUAUUGGGCGUAAAGCGAGCGCAGGCGGUUAGAAAAGUCUGAAGUGAAAGGCAGUGGCUCAACCAUUGUAGGCUUUGGAAACUGUUUAACUUGAGUGCAGAAGGGGAGAGUGGAAUUCCAUGUGUAGCGGUGAAAUGCGUAGAUAUAUGGAGGAACACCGGUGGCGAAAGCGGCUCUCUGGUCUGUAACUGACGCUUAGGCUCGAAAGCGUGGGGAGCGAACAGG